rnacentral:rRNA from 1 species
CCUACGGGUGGCUGCAGUGGGGAAUAUUGCACAAUGGGCGCAAGCCUGAUGCAGCCAUGCCGCGUGUGUGAAGAAGGCCUUCGGGUUGUAAAGCACUUUCAGCGGGGAGGAAGGCGGUGAGGUUAAUAACCUCAUCGAUUGACGUUACCCGCAGAAGAAGCACCGGCUAACUCCGUGCCAGCAGCCGCGGUAAUACGGAGGGUGCAAGCGUUAAUCGGAAUUACUGGGCGUAAAGCGCACGCAGGCGGUCUGUCAAGUCGGAUGUGAAAUCCCCGGGCUCAACCUGGGAACUGCAUGCGAAACUGGCAGGCUAGAGUCUUGUAGAGGGGGGUAGAAUUCCAGGUGUAGCGGUGAAAUGCGUAGAGAUCUGGAGGAAUACCGGUGGCGAAGGCGGCCCCCUGGACAAAGGCUGACGCUCAGGUGCGAAAGCGUGGGGAGCAAACAGGAUUAGAUGCCCGGUAGUC